rnacentral:rRNA from 1 species
CAGCCGCCGCGGGAAUACAGAGGAUGCAAGCGUUAUCCGGAAUGAUUGGGCGUAAAGCGUCUGUAGGUAGCUUUUCAAGUCCGCCGUCAAAUCCCAGGGCUCAACCCUGGACAGGCGGUGGAAACUACCAAGCAGGAGUACGGUAGGGGCAGAGGGAAUUUCCGGUGGAGCGGUGAAAUGCGUUGAGAUCGGGAAGAACACCAACGGCGAAAGCACUCUGCUGGGCCGACACUGACACUGAGAGACGAAAGCUAGGGGAGCAAAUGGGAUUAGAUACCCCGGUAGUCCCUGUCUCUUAUAC